rnacentral:tRNA from 1 species
GAGAUUUUAGUUAAAUAAAUAAUAUCAUUUUGUCAAGAUGAAGUAAUCACCUUGGUUGAUAAAUCUCU